rnacentral:rRNA from 1 species
GACGAAAGUCUGACGGAGCAACGCCGCGUGAGUGAAGAAGGUUUUCGGAUCGUAAAGCUCUGUCUUUGAGGACGAAUGUGUCUAAUGUGAAUAAUGUUAGAUAAUGACGGUACUCGAGGAGGAAGCCACGGCUAACUACGUGCCAGCAGCCGCGGUAAUACGUAGGUGGCAAGCGUUGUCCGGAAUUAUUGGGCGUAAAGCGCGCGCAGGCGGGAUAUUAAGUCUGUUUUAAAAGUUCGGGGCUCAACCCCGUGAUGGAAUGGAAACUAAUAUUCUUGAGUGCAGGAGAGGAAAGUGGAAUUCCCAGUGUAGCGGUGAAAUGCGUAGAUAUUGGGAGGAACACCAGUGGCGAAGGCGACUUUCUGGACUGUGUCUGACGCUGAGGCGCGAAAGCCAGGGGAGUGAACGGGAUUAGAUACCCCGGUAAUCCUGGCCGUAAACGAUGGGUACUAGGUGUAGGAGGUAUCGACCCCUUCUGUGCCGGAGUUAACGCAAUAAGUACCCCGCCUGGGGAGUA